rnacentral:rRNA from 1 species
CGCAUCUGUGCAUGCAGCAUAUCAAUAAGCGGAGGAAAAGAAACUAACAAGGAUUCCCCUAGUAACGGCGAGUGAAGCGGGAAGAGCUCAAAUUUGAAAUCUUAAAGGGUUUCCCUUUACGAAUUGUAGUUUAAAGAAGUGUUUUCUGUUGAGGUUUUGGUAAAAGUUCUUUGGAAUAGGACAUCAUAGAGGGUGAGAAUCCCGUAUUUGACCUUUACUUUCAACUUUGUGAUACACUUUCAAAGAGUCGGAUUGUUUGGGAGUGCAGUCCAAAAUGGGUGGUAAAUUUCAUCUAAAGCUAAAUAUUGGCGAGAGACCGAUAGCGAACAAGUACCGUGAGGGAAAGAUGAAAAGAACUUUGAAAAGAGAGUUAAACAGUACGUGAAAUUGUCAAAAGGGAAGCGUUUGACACCAGGUGUUGUUUUUCUGAAAAUCAAUUAAAGAACUGUUUAUGCUAAGUUGUUUAGACUUUAUCAGCUAUCUGUUUAGUUUUGAGCUUUUCUUUAAUGCACUUUUCAGUUAACAAGUCAACAUCAAUUUCUUUUGCUGUAAAAAAGCUUGAGGAAGGUGGCUUGAGAUUCGUCUUAAGUGUUUAUAGCCUCUUGCCUAUGCAGUCGGAGAGAUUGAGGUCUGCAGCGUAGAUCCUUCGGGGCUAAAUGCAUUUGUGCUAAGUUAUAGCAUUUUAUAGACAACUUGUUGACUAUGAUUUGUCUUGUAGCUUACUCGCUUAUGUUAUUUUACCUACGCUUAGGAUGUUGAAUCUGUGCGAGACUAC